CAUAGUACCGAAAUAAAUUUCUAGGUAUUUCUACGUACAAUUCUUUGAUACGACGAUCUGUUUUCUGAGACGAAAAGCAUUUUUAGGUACUUUUACGUAAAUUUCUAGGUACUCGUACAAUUUUUGACCCGCCGAUCGAAAUAAUUUUGUUUCUAGUAUUUAUUAGCCGAACGACCGGUUUCGACAAUAAAAGUUUAGUUACUUCUACAAAUCCGGUGACGACAGCAAUUCAAAAAAAAGAUUAGACCGUAAAUUAUUGAUAUUUUUAAAUGAAACUAGUAGGAAUAAUUUUUAAAGAAUACUUAUUUUCAUUUUUUUUCGUCUGAAUUUCUUAAUAUUCUAAUUAGAGUAUGAGCAUUUUGUUUUCUACCAAAUAUAACACGGCUAUAUCUUCGUUUCCCUUUAAUAGUUUGCUUUACCGUGUUGCCGGUUCUUGGGUCUGAAUACAUCGAUUCAACGUAAAUCGGCUUAUACACUUAUACUAAUGUCGAAGGUGGCGCCGCCCGUGACAAUACCGGUGUACCCCCAAUCGUAUAUAAAAAAC